UACGUAGGGUGCAAGCGUUAAUCGGAAUUACUGGGCGUAAAGCGUGCGCAGGCGGUUUUGUAAGUUUGUCGUGAAAGCCCCGGGCUCAACCUGGGAAUUGCGAUGAAGACUGCAAGGCUUGAAUCUGGCAGAGGGGGGUAGAAUUCCACGUGUAGCAGUGAAAUGCGUAGAGAUGUGGAGGAACACCGAUGGCGAAGGCAGCCCCCUGGGCCACCACUGACGCUCAUGCACGAAAGCGUGGGGAGCAAACAGG
rnacentral:rRNA from 1 species